rnacentral:tmRNA from 1 species
GGGAGUGUUUAUUGGCUUCGACAGUUAAUUAAAAGGACACUGACUACAAUAGGGUAAGCCCUUUAUAGCUAAAAAUAAACGCAAAGAAAAAAGAGCGUGCUUCAUUAGUGAAUCUACUAAUGAGCAACUCUCAGCAAUUAGCUUUAACUCUUUAGUUUAACUAGUAGCUGAGGGGGUGUCGAAGGGGUUUAAGUUGUAGAGGUUAUUGUUAGUUCUUAGAAACUAACUAAGUUGUAAACGUCUUUGUUACUGGUUAAUUGGAUGGGGGUUCGAAUCCCCUCACUUCCACCA